AGUGAACGCUGGCGGCGUGCUUAACACAUGCAAGUCGAACGGCAGCGGGGGCUUCGGCCUGCCGGCGAGUGGCGAACGGGUGAGUAAUGCAUCGGAACGUGCCCAUGUCGUGGGGGAUAACGUAGCGAAAGCUACGCUAAUACCGCAUAUUCUGUGAGCAGGAAAGCAGGGGAUCGCAAGACCUUGCGCUGAUUGAGCGGCCGAUAUCGGAUUAGCUAGUUGGUGAGGUAAAGGCUCACCAAGGCGACGAUCUGUAGCGGGUCUGAGAGGAUGAUCCGCCACACUGGAACUGAGACACGGUCCAGACUCCUACGGGAGGCAGCAGUGGGGAAUUUUGGACAAUGGGCGCAAGCCUGAUCCAGCCAUGCCGCGUGAGUGAAGAAGGCCUCGGUUGUAAG
rnacentral:rRNA from 1 species